AAGAAGAUUUUGAAAAGAGGGAGAGGUUUUUUUUAAAUUAAAGAAGUGGGAGGAGAUGAAGAGACUACCCCAGACGAAAAUUAAAAGUUAAGCGUUGAAAAGAUCUGACCAAUGGGAUGCAAUCCACAAGACAAGAAUGUCAGAAAGAAACCAAUUUCCUUUGGACUUUUGAGCAGACAAUAAGCAUAAGCAAUAUCCA
rnacentral:lncRNA from 1 species